rnacentral:tRNA from 1 species
GCCUGGGUGGCUCAGUCAGUUAAGCGUCUGACUUUGGCUCAGGUCAUGGUCUCAUGGUUCAUGGGUUCGAGCCCCAUGUUGGGCU